rnacentral:rRNA from 1 species
GAUGAACGCUGGCGGCGUGCCUAAUACAUGCAAGUCGAGCGAACGGACGAGAAGCUUGCUUCUCUGAUGUUAGCGGCGGACGGGUGAGUAACACGUGGAUAACCUACCUAUAAGACUGGGAUAACUUCGGGAAACCGGAGCUAAUACCGGAUAAUAUUUUGAACCGCAUGGUUCAAAAGUGAAAGACGGUCUGGCUGUCACUUAUAGAUGGAUCCGCACUGCAUUAGCUAGUUGGUAAGGUAACGGCUUACCAAGGCAACGAUGCAUAGCCGACCUGAGAGGGGGAUCGGCCACACGAGAACUGAGACACGGUCCAGACACCGACGGGAGGCAGCAGUAGGGAAUCUUACGCAAUGGGCGAGAGCCUGACGGAGCAACGCCGCGGGAGUGAUGAAGGUCUUCGGAUCGGAAAACUCUGUUAUCAGUGAAGAACAUAUGUGUAAGUAACUGUGCACAUCUUGACGGUACCUAAUCAGAAAGCCACGGCUAACUACGUG